rnacentral:rRNA from 1 species
UACGAAGGGGGCUAGCGUUGCUCGGAUUUACUGGGCGUAAAGGGCGCGUAGGCGGACAGUUAAGUUGGGGGUGAAAGCCCGGGGCUCAACCUCGGAAUUGCCUUCAAUACUGGCUGUCUUGAGUGUGAGAGAGGUGUGUGGAACUCCGAGUGUAGAGGUGAAAUUCGUAGAUAUUCGGAAGAACACCAGUGGCGAAGGCGACUCACUGGCUCACUACUGACGCUGAGGCGCGAAAGCGUGGGGAGCAAACAGG